GACGAACGCUGGCGGCGUGCUUAACACAUGCAAGUCGAACGGAAAGGCCCUGCUUUUGUGGGGUGCUCGAUUGGCGAACGGGUGAGUAACACGUGAGUAACCUGCCCUUGACUUUGGGAUAACUUCAGGAAACUGGGGCUAAUACCGGAUAGGAGCUCCUGCUGCAUGGUGGGGGUUGGAAAGUUUCGGCGGUGGGGGCUGGACUCGCGGUGUCUGAGCUUGUUGGGGAGGUAGUGGUGUGCCAGGGCUUUGAUGGGUAGCCAGCCUGAGAGGGUGGCCGGGCACAGUGGAGGUGAGACGCGAUCCAGAGGCCGACGGUAGGCAGCAGUAGGGAAGGGGCGGCAAUGGGGGAAAGCAUGACGGAGCGACGGCGCAUGAGUGAGGAAGGUCUGCGGAUCGGAAAACUGGGUUAUUGGGGAAGAACAGAUGGGUAAGUAACUGUGCAGAUCGUGACGGUACCGAAUCAGAAAGCCCCGGCUAACUACGUG
rnacentral:rRNA from 1 species